UUUUUGUUUUCAUUAUUUAUGAUAGAGAAGUCUAUGCUUAAGAAGAAUAUGAAUUCACAUUACAUUUUACUCUUAUUUUAAACAUUAUUUUAUCCCUGCCAGGUGAUUGUUUCUGAUCCUACUGAAAUGAUGUGCAAUUGUUUAUGGGUCCCGUGUUCUUCAAAGUCUUCUUUGUCUUUGCUGGGGAGUGCAUUAGAUUCUCCUAUUUGGUUCAGAUGGAUCAAUUUCCAAAAAGUAACUUAACACGGUUAAGAAGUAACUUAAUUCCUAACAACAAAGGAAGAAAGCAACUAAGGGAGAAAGAACUAUUACCUUUCCAGGAAGUCAAAAAAAAGGUCAAGCAAAUAAAUAAAAUUUUGACACUUUUUUAAGAACUUGAAAUUCCUUAAUUAAGUUCAUGGAGUAAAGCCAUCGAUAAUUCUAGCAGAGGGACUCAACCUCAAGGAAACUCGGGAAUGGUAUAACCCAGUGCAUAUCAGCAGGGAUUUCUCAGUUUAUUCAAAUUUCUUGUGUCUUAAAUGUUGAAAUUGCACACAUGAAGACAUUAAAACCCUGCAAGUUGAUCAAUAUAGCAGUUUGGUUUUGCAGGUAUGUUUGAACUCUUCCCUGUUAAUCAUAUUUGUUAUCUUAUGCCACUUUUUACCAGGAUGGGAGGAAAAGCAUGAAGAUUUUUUUUGGGGCAUGAACAUUGAGUUCUUACUAAUUCCUUCUAGAACUUAAAGCUGGGACGUAUGAUCUGAGGAGCUAGUCUGGCUGAUUGAAAUUUCUCCUCAUUUGUCAACUAAUGUUUCUUAUGCCUAUAAAUAAACCCUUUGCUCAAUUAUUUUGGGCAACUUUACCUUUUGAAUGGGAAGUUCCUAUCAUUGUGUUCAAAAACACACUCUGUCUAAGGGAACUACUAUUGACAGACAGAGGAAAAGAGCCUUAUGAUAAUAUUCUCUUGGCCUAAGUCCCCUCUCACUUUGCACAAGCAGUUAUGGUGCAACAAAUUGAAUUUCCAAUCUGGGCCAAUGCAGGAUUGGAAGUGCUGGGAGGUAUUUUUCUGAAGCUGGAAUCAACUUGCUUGAAUGGAUUCUUCUCAGCCACUGGGAUAUCCCUGAAAGCUUGUGAAGUUGAAGCCAUGAAUGAUGUUGAAGUGGAAGAUGAAGAUGCCUGAGGGAUGGGACGACCCUCUGCUUGAGCCUUAUUUGGCCAACCAGACAGAAAGAUUGUAAGCAAAAGAGCAAGAGCAGCUAGGAUUGUUGAGUAUCGCUUCAUAUUUGAUAAUGUCCUGUGUGAGUAUGAGCUGACCUGGAAGUUCUUGAACUGUUUUGAAGAGUGAAAACUGCUUAUUGAGACAACUUAAAUAGUUGGUGGUUUAUGCUUAACCUGAAAGUUCAACAAAAUUGUAAAAAUCUGAAUUGGGAUCUGAUGCCAGUGGGAUCAUGUGCUCUACUUUGACUACUACAAUUUUGUGUCUGUGACCUCCUGAUUUUGGAUGACUGAUGACAAACAAGUAGGAGAGACUGAGAGAGUCAUGUGAUUUAUCA